rnacentral:rRNA from 1 species
AGCGAACGCUGGCGGCAGGCCUAACACAUGCAAGUCGAACGAACCCUUCGGGGUUAGUGGCGGACGGGUGAGUAACACGUGGGAACGUGCCUUUAGGUUCGGAAUAACUCAGGGAAACUUGUGCUAAUACCGAAUGUGCCCUUCGGGGGAAAGAUUUAUCGCCUUUAGAGCGGCCCGCGUCUGAUUAGCUAGUUGGUGAGGUAAUGGCUCACCAAGGCUACGAUCAGUAGCUGGUUUGAGAGGAUGACCAGCCACAUUGGGACUGAGACACGGCCCAAACUCCUACGGGAGGCAGCAGUGGGGAAUCUUGCGCAAUGGGCGAAAGCCUGACGCAGCCAUGCCGCGUGGAUGAUGAAGGUCUUAGGAUUGUAAAAUCCUUUCACCGGUGAAGAUAAUGACUGUACCUGCAGAAGAAGGACCGGCCAACUACGUGCCAGCCGCCGCCGUAAGAC